rnacentral:rRNA from 1 species
CCUACGGGUGGCAGCAGUGAGGAAUAUUGGUCAAUGGACGCGAGUCUGAACCAGCCAAGUAGCGUGAAGGAUGACUGCCCUAUGGGUUGUAAACUUCUUUUAUAAAGGAAUAAAGCGAGGCACGUGUGCCUUUUUGCAUGUACUUUAUGAAUAAGGAUCGGCUAACUCCGUGCCAGCAGCCGCGGUAAUACGGAGGAUCCGAGCGUUAUCCGGAUUUAUUGGGUUUAAAGGGAGCGUAGGUGGGUUGUUAAGUCAGUUGUGAAAGUUUGCGGCUCAACCGUAAAAUUGCAAUUGAUACUGGCAGCCUGGAGUACAGUUGAGGUAGGCGGAAUUCGUGGUGUAGCGGUGAAAUGCUUAGAUAUCACGAAGAACUCCGAUUGCGAAGGCAGCCUACUAGACUGCAACUGACAUUGAUGCUCGAAAGUGUGGGUAUCAAACAGGAUUAGAUACCCCUGUAGUC